AUGCUGUCCCAGAGGCAGAGGCGGUGCUCAAUGCUGUUCCAGAGGUCGAGGCGGUGCCCGACACUGUUCCAGAGGCCGAGGUGGCACCCGAUGCCGAGGCGGUGCCCGAGACUGUUCCGGAGGCCGAGGCGGUGCCCGAGACGGUGCCUGAUGCCGAGGUGGCGCCCGAUGCUGUUCCAGAGGCCGAGGUGGUGCCCGAGGUCGAGGCAGCGCCCAUUGCUGUUCCAGAGGCCGAGGCGGUGCCCGAGGCCGUUCCCGAGGCAGUUACCGAGGCGGUGCCCGAGGCUGUUUCGGAGGUCGAGGCGGUGCCCGACACUGUUCCACAGGCCGAGGUGGCACCCGAUGCCGAGGCGGUGCCCGAAGGCCGUUCCCGAGGCACUUACCGAGGCGGUGACCGAGGCUGUUCCGGAGGUCGAGGCGGUGCCCGACACUGUUCCAGAGGCCAAGGUGGCACCCGAUGCUGAGGCGGUGCCCGAGGCUGUUCCGGAGGCCGAGGCGGUGCCCGAGACGGUGCCUGAUGCCGAGGAGGUGCCCGAGACGGUGCCUGAUGCCGAGGCGGCGCCCGAUCCAGUUCUGGAGGCCGGGGCGGGGCCCGAGGCUGUUCCCAAUGCAGUUACCGAGGCAGUGCCCGUUGCUGUUCCAGAGGCUGAGGCGGUGCUCGAGGCUGAUCCCGAGGCCGUUACCGAGGUGGUGCCCGAGGCCGUUCCGGAGGCCGAGGCGGUGCCCGAGGCCGUUCCCGAGGCAGUUGCCGAGGCGGUGCCCGAGGCUGUUCCGGAGGUCGAGGCGGUGCCCGACGCUGUUCCAGAGGCCGAGGUGGCACCUGAUGCCGAGGCGGUGCCCGAGGCCGUUCCGGAGGUCGAGGCGGUGCCCGAGGCUGUUCCAGAGGCCGAGGCGGUGCCCGAUCCAGUUCUGGAGGCUGAGGCGGUGCCUGAUGCCAAGGUGGUGCCCGAGGCUGUUCCAGAGCCAGGGCCAGUCACCGAGGACCCUCCAGAGCCAGGGCCAGUCACCAAUUACCCUCCAGAGCCAAGUCAAGUCACUGGGUGGUCUGCUGCUCCGUUCCGGGGGACUCCGGUCUCAACCACGGGGACGUGGUGGCCGUCCGCUCCGCCCUGGAGGGCUCUGACUUUGACCACAAGGUUGUGGUGGUCCUCCGCUCCGCCCUGGAGGGCUCUGACUUUGACCACAAGGCUGUGGUGGUCUUCCGCUCCGCCCUGGAGGGUUUUGACUUUGACCACAAGGCUGUGGUGGUCUUCCGCUCCGCCCUGGUGGGCGCCUCAACAGGUCCUUCAGGGAUUUCUGUGUGUUGUUUUGGUUUCUGUUAUGUUUCUGUCUGUUCCCCUCAGUUUGUCUGGCCCUCCGUCCCUCCCCCUGUACCUCCUCCGGCCCUCCUCCCUCCUGGUGUCCUUGUUUUAUGUUUUCAUUUCUGGUGUUUGUCCCCCAUGUCUUCUUUUUCUGUCUCCUGUUUCCCCAUUAUCCUUCUGUGUAUAAAUACCCAGUCUGUCUUAGUCUGUGUUACGGAGUCCUUGUUUAAAUGUUACCGUUAUUCAUUCCCGUCAUCCUUGUCUUGCCUUGCGUUAGUGUCUUGUUUAUGUCUGCUUUGAUCUUCUGGUUUUGACCCUGCCUGGACUGUUUACCCUUUUGGAUUAUCCCUAAUAAACGACGUACCUGCAAUUGGUUCCUUCUUCGUGUUUUCCUAACACCUAACGUGACAAGUAUAGCCGAAAUCAUUCAGUCACUAUUUCAUAUUUAUGCCGUUGUUCUUUCUCCCUUUCCCCCGUGAUUUUGUCUAUAUAGCGAAUAUAAGACGACCCCCCAUUUUUCAGCCUAUUUUUAGGACAAAAAAACUUGUCUUAUAUUCGGGUAUAUACGGUAAUUAUAAAUCAAUUGUCAUAAUAUUGAACAAUAUUACUGUUUGUUGUUGUAUUUUUCAAAACUUGAAACUUUGUGUGUGUGCGCGUGUGUAUGUGCCUAUCUCAAACAAGUAGCCCUCAAGACUAUUUUAUCCCUUCAGGGAGCCCUCACUCACAAAAAGGUUGGAGACCCCUGCCGUAAGAACAAAAAUUAAAAAAGGCAAAAAGAUUAGGAGGACUAAGGUAAUUCAAAAGAUGGAAAAACGUUCUAAAUUGAACGAGGAGGAAACAUGGAAAACUAAGAAGGAGCGAGUCAACUCUGAUACAGAAUGAAGGUUAGCUGGCCAGUUGAAACAGAGACUGUGUGACCCAAAAGUUAAAGAAGAAAAUGAAAAUGUAUAUAUUUAAUAAUUCCUGGAACAAAGUAUUUGAUUAACACAUGCAGAAAUUUCUGUCUCAACUGAGCCUUGAGAGUUAAAUAGUACAAUAGAGGUACAAACAUAUGACGGACAAGUUAAAACAGAAAAA
ensembl:lncRNA